CGCGCUGAAUCACAAGUGAACCCGAAUUUGAAUCCUCCCUAACAUAUGAACCUGAAACCUAAUCCCCAAAUCCCAAUUGAGACCAAAAUUCAAGCAAGAAAAAGACUCUUAUCCCAAAAUUCUUCCCCGAAUCCGAAUUUGAUAAUCGUUCUCGCACAUCCUAGGUCAGAAUUUCGCAUUGGAGUUCAGGAAUGAUGUACCCUAGGUUAAUCACGUUCUGAAAGAGAAAUUGGGGGGAGGCGGAGUGGAAAAGAUGCUCAGAGGCAAUGCAUAAAUAAAUAACUCGAAACCCUCACCAAAUCGGCGUGAAGGAAAUCUCUACCCUGGUGGUCACUCCGACAACGGAGACUGCUUUAUAGAUUUGAUUUGUGGAAUUGCAGAGCGAAGGAUUGAAGGUGAUAAGCAAAUGCGCUUAUCUACAUAAGUGAUUCUUCUGCGACAGAAACAAGUAUUUCCUCAAACGCGAUGCGUCUCUAUUCGCUCAGAAUUCUCACAGUUUCGGUUUGAUUACGAAGUUCUGGUUUUGGUUUGUAUUGGUUUAGAUUGGAAAGCCCCAAGUUCGUGUCGAAGCGUGAAAUCGUGAUGGGAGAGAUGCCGACAUGUUCAAAAGAAUUACGCAAAUGAAUAAGCUUAAAACACUUAUCGGAUCACUUCACAUUUUGCAGGGCUUCAUAGUGCUUGGCUUGGAAUGUUUAGGAAGUGCUUUUGGAAUUGCUUGGAACACCAAGGUUUAAGAUGGAAAGAUAACCUUAAUCAUGUUGUAGUUUGUAGUAAUUAUUUGAAAUGUAAUGGUUUAUGGUUUGUACAUUGAAAUUUGUAAUGUUGAAAUAUAAAACGUGUAUGAAUUGAAUUGAAUUGGAAUUGACUUGUAAAUUGUUAAGUUGUUUUUGGAAUUUGAAUGGAAUUAUAAUGGUUGUAAUUUUGGAAUUAAUGGUUUAUGAAGUGAAAUUUUGGAA